rnacentral:ncRNA from 1 species
GUAUAAGCAAUGAGCAAGAGAGCUGACCAAACAGUGUCGCCCAGAGAGGAAACCCUUGGCUGAAAGGUUUUUCGACCCGUUGAUCAGCAGUAGCUUGCGAGCUGUCAGACUGAACGCACAGUAGGCCUGACCGGAGUGACAUCCGUUAACGAUUGUUAUUAAGAGGGGUUUAAAAGCCCAAUUUAGGUGGUACCGCGAAAAGCAUUUCGUCCUAUUU